GUUCAAGAGUGCACUUCAUUGUGGCUCUAAACCUUUUCAAUAUACCUUUCACCCAUUUUUAAACCCAAAGCUGUUAUGUGUACCUUUUUGGGUAUAGCAUCUCAGUAGUACGCAUCAUGUGGAUUUAUUCACAAGUUGCAUUACCCCACCCCACCNCCUUUUUGAAAUUAACGCUAUAUAAAGUUUUUAGAAUGUAAACCCCCUUGAAAUUAUAUAACUUUUAACAAUGGAUCUCUUGGCUCUCACAUCGAUGAAGAACACAGUGAAAUGUGAUAAGUAAUGUGAAUUGCAGAAUUCAGUGAAUCAUCGAAUCUUUGAACGCACCUUGCACCUUUUGGAUAUUCCGAAAGGUACACCUGUUUGAGUGUCAUGAAACCCUCUCAUUCCAAUUUUUUUUGAUUAAGAAGUUGAGAUGGAUGUUGGGUGUUGCCGUUAUUGGCUCACCUUAAAUAUAUAAGUACUUUUAUUGAAAAAUAAAUGGAUAUACUUGGUGUAAUAUUUAUUAUUCAUUGAGGAGUGUGGUGCGUUAAAAACACUGCAGCCAUUUGACUUUUGAUAGAUAGCUUCCAAACCCCAAUACAUAUAUUUUUAGACCUCAAAUCAGGUGGGACUACCCGCUGAACUUAAGCAUAUCAAUAAGCGGAGGAAAAGAAACUAACAAGGAUUCCCCUAGUAACGGCGAGUGAAGAGGGAAAAGCC
rnacentral:rRNA from 1 species